UCCUUGCAUGGGAGAGGUAAAGAGAAGUAAGCAAGAAGGGCCUCAUAAAGGUAGAGGCAUUUGGGAUGAGCCUUUGAGGAUAGAUAAUAUUUGACAUAGGGAAAUGAAGGUAGAGAUAUACAUAAGCAACAAAGUGAAGAAAAGAAUGACAGAUUGGAAGUGGGCUAUUCAGGAAAAAAUGCUUUUCUUUGGAAACCAUGGAUAAUAUUUCAGCUUCUAUUCUUACAAAUUAGUCUCGGCAAAGUUGCCACUUAUCAUAUGUUCAAUAUGAAGUAUUUUCCUUGCCUAUAAGAAACACUACAACGAUGUGAGUAGAGGUGAAACAGAGAGUAGACGUGUCCCAGUUGUGCCCCAGAUGUGUUUGUAAACUUCUAGGUAUGGUUUCCAAAGAAAUAAAGCUCACAGUACUUUUAUUAAGAAUACUUAUAUUUCUAUAAAUAAAUGGAAACUCAUCUUCAGCUAAAAAUAUAGUGGCGGCUCACAUCUAUAAUCCUAGCACUCUGGGAAGCCAAUGUAGGGGGAUCACUUGAGGCCAGGAGUGUGAGACCAGCCUGGACAGCAUAGUAAGACUCCUUCUCUACAAAAUAUUAUUUUAAAAAAUUAUUUGGGCAUGGUUUCUCAUGUCUGUAGUCUCAGCUACUCAGGGGGUGAGGUGGGAGGAUCAUUUAGCCCAGAAGGUGGAGGCUGCAGUGAACCAUGAUUUGUCGUUGCACUUCAGCCUGGGUGACGGAGCGAGACCUUGUCUCUAAACAAAACAAAACAAAACUUGGAAAUUCUAGAUAUCCAGGUAUUUACUCACUACCACAUAGCUUAACUGUAUUUCCUUAUUAUUUUGUCUCUAGCUGAAGUUCUCUGGAAUGGUCAUGAAGACAGAAGACAUCAAAGAUUAGGAAAUCUAUCCCAAAAAGAUCACGAAAUCAAGGACAGUGACACCUUUUUGAGCUUUUUACUUGCCUCUUCCUGUUGUUGUUUUUUUUUUUCCACUUCCCUUAGUCAUUCACUAAUCAGUUCUGCUUUAGAACCAUUAAAAUAAUAGAAAACUUACAGAAACUUGGUAAAAUGUUUCUCUGGCCUAUUUCCAAACUGCCCAAAAUUAAUGGGAAAUGGUUAAAGUCAAAAAAGCUUUUUCUCUGACAUGGAUUUCUAAACAAUAUAAUUAUGGUUCACUCCAUGGUUAUGAGCUUUGGGAGCUCCCACAAAAAAGUCUUUGCUGCAGAUGUGGCCACUGGCUGCUAUACCAGGCAAUUUGAUUCGUGUUUGUUGUUGUUGAAAAAAUAUAUAAAACUCUCUUAUGUUGGAUUAAGAGGCUUUUAAGAGGAAGCUAGACACAAAGGCCAGGUCUCUCUCUAUUUGCUCGCUCAUGACAAAGGUAGAAGUUUCAAAUUUGUGAUACAUGUGAAGAAUGUGUCUGUUACUUCGUCUUACAUUUUUGCCUUCAGAAUUAUUGUUUUCAAUCAUUCUAUUUUAUAUAAAUGCACAAAAAAUAAGUCCAAGCUAAACUAGUGAUGCUGGGUCACUCCAAGAAGUAUCCUCAAUACAGCUUCACAAAUUUACCCUUUUCUCUCCAAAUCCAUGUUUAUUUCUUGAGACAGUUAUAUGAUGUUUUGCCAAGAAAGCAACUGGGAGCAAUGCCUUAUGUUUAACUGGGCUUUUAGAUUUGAGAAGCAAUCCAAUCCAAGACUUCACAAUAAGACUUCCAUAGCAAUCGGAUAUUAGUGACAUAAAAGGACCUUAAGAACUCCACCAUUUUAUACUCUAUAUAAAUGUAUGAUGUGGUACAUAAAGUAUUAAUCAAUACUUCAUGAGCAUAGUAGCUCUGUUUAUACCAAUUUCUAGCAAUGUAAAUUAAGCAAUUUUGUAGAAAAAAUAUAAUAAUUGAAAGUAUAAUUUAACUUCCACUCCAUGAACACUUAGCCUCUUCAUACCAUCCUCCUCCAAGCAUUUCUUUGGUCCUUGGAAAAUCAGUGAAAAAUCUGAAAAAUUGGGAUUUUGUGUUUGAUUAUAUGUAGAUUUACUACAAGUAUACUGGGCUUUUCUUUUCUGAUGCUAUAGAGACGAACUAUAGCUUUCCUAACUCAAUCUUAUUAUUAGCCAGGUCCAGUUUAUAUUAGUUAAAAUGAACAUCAUAAAUUUACAGUAUAACUUAUCUGGUACAUUCCUUCUAUUGUAGUUUGAAAAUGUGCCAUUCAGGACUGAAAUGACUCAAACAUAAUCAGAUUUUAUUUCUAGAGAAGUAAAGUCUACACUUCUAUAAUUCUGUGAACCCAUCAGCAAUUAACUUUGUCCCAGUAGAAUUAAUAUAGUGUUCAAGUUCAGGAUUGAAUAGAUGAGAAGAGGAAGGAACAAUAAAACUCAUUCACUCCCAUGCUAGGUUCUGCAAAAUAGCUUCCAUAUUCCCAUAAUGUGAUAUUUAUCUUCCUUAUUAUAGCACAUUUAAAGUCAGUAACCCUAAAAAUCUCCUACAUAAAGGUUUGCAUCUUUCCCCUUAAAAAUGUACAGAUGAGCUUGUGAUAAAGAGAUGAUGUCUCCUGCCAGAUUGUAAUAUCAUAUAGACCAGUUACCAGAGUGUCUUUCUAAAGGAAACCAAGGACCACUUCAGUGAAAUAUUGAAGGCAGGGGAGGCCUGAAAUGAUUAAAAGAAACAAAGCUUUCCCAUAGCAUGUGUCCUUUUCUUUGUAAGGAGAUGAGAAUUGGUCUCUUUGCUCAGAGCAAUACCUUGGGCAACACUGAGAACUCCCAUCUCUAAGAUGGUGUAAAUGGGAUGUUUACUGGCUGGCAGGUAAUGAGUCUUGUUGUAGAUAAUAGUGAUGGACAGAAUCUCACGCCUGUUGACAUCCCAGCAUCUCAGCAGCUAUAUAUGGUUAUCAUCCAUCGCUUUGAAGCACAUACAAUAUUGUGACAGGAUGCACAAUAUUUCCCCCAUAGAAAUGAUGUCUAGGUUAGGAAGCCACAGACCCUGCUGACUUCAAUUGUCCCAAACAUGUGAGUACUGGAUUUGGACCUGCCUUUGAAAUGGACUUAAGCAGCUUGAAAAUGGAAGUUGGAUCAGAGUCAUUCAAAAAUACAUUGGGAGAUAACAUAGGCUUCCCUUCAUCCAGAAGAAAAUCUGGAUCUGGAUCUGUUCAUGUAUUGUUUCUACAAAGCAGAACAAAGGUAGAUUGGAAGGCUGCUGGCUUCAACAUUUUCUGUAGAGAAGGAACACCUAUGAAAAUCCUAUCACUGGCUGAAUAGACAUAUUCUCCUUUCCAGCACCAACUCUGGGGAAUGGUGGGCCUCACAGGCUGGCUAACCCUUCUUGGAGUUCAUGGGAAAAAGAUGUCUAGUUCAAAGAAGAUGAGAAGGGAGGUAUCGUUCUAAUCAUGUGGAAAGCCCGUUGUGCUUUUAGUUUGUGUUUGUAGCAUUCUUAGCUUAAUUUCAGUGAUGUUAUUGUAGCUGUGAAGAUUAGAUAAUAAUAAGAAAAACUAAUUCUUAGGCACCAGACAGACAAUAUGAAAAAAACAUAUAAUUCUAAAUGUAGGUCAAAUUUUAUAUCUAUCAGCAUUGAUGCAGUGUUGUUCUGGUCUGUUCUUAAAUUUUUGUUUUAUGAAAAACAAUGAAUGCAAUAAUCUUCUAAUACAGCGAUUAAGAAACAGUGUAUAUUUUUCCACAUACUAUCAAA